UGCAAGUCGAACGAACUCUGGUAUUGAUUGGUGCUUGCAUCAUGAUUUACAUUUGAGUGAGUGGCGAACUGGUGAGUAACACGUGGGAAACCUGCCCAGAAGCGGGGGAUAACACCUGGAAACAGAUGCUAAUACCGCAUAACAACUUGGACCGCAUGGUCCGAGUUUGAAAGAUGGCUUCGGCUAUCACUUUUGGAUGGUCCCGCGGCGUAUUAGCUAGAUGGUGGGGUAACGGCUCACCAUGGCAAUGAUACGUAGCCGACCUGAGAGGGUAAUCGGCCACAUUGGGACUGAGACACGGCCCAAACUCCUACGGGAGGCAGCAGUAGGGAAUCUUCCACAAUGGACGAAAGUCUGAUGGAGCAACGCCGCGUGAGUGAAGAAGGGUUUCGGCUCGUAAAACUCUGUUGUUAAAGAAGAACAUAUCUGAGAGUAACUGUUCAGGUAUUGACGGUAUUUAACCAGAAAGCCACGGCUAACUACGUGCCAGCAGCCGCGGUAAUACGUAGGUGGCAAGCGUUGUCCGGAUUUAUUGGGCGUAAAGCGAGCGCAGGCGGUUUUUUAAGUCUGAUGUGAAAGCCUUCGGCUCAACCGAAGAAGUGCAUCGGAAACUGGGAAACUUGAGUGCAGAAGAGGACAGUGGAACUCCAUGUGUAGCGGUGAAAUGCGUAGAUAUAUGGAAGAACACCAGUGGCGAAGGCGGCUGUCUGGUCUGUAACUGACGCUGAGGCUCGAAAGUAUGGGUAGCAAACAGGAUUAGAUACCCUGGUAGUCCAUACCGUAAACGAUGAAUGCUAAGUGUUGGAGGGUUUCCGCCCUUCAGUGCUGCAGCUAACGCAUUAAGCAUUCCGCCUGGGGAGUACGGCCGCAAGGCUG
rnacentral:rRNA from 1 species